rnacentral:misc_RNA from 1 species
UUGCGCGAGUCGGUCUAGUAUUUUAGUAUUGUAGGUAAACGCUUUCUGCUAAAUAAUGCUACGUUAUAAGUUAAGUACUUUCGGAAAUUGUGUGUGAUUGUUUGGCUGUAUGUCAACAAGAGUAAAUAUUCGUAUACAAAUAUACGUGAGUUUCAUACAUCAUUUGUUGCUUGCACUGCUUUCGAGAAGGUUAAUUUGUUUGGUAGGCUCGAGUAAAG